GACGUAGCUUUCCGUGGGGUCUGCUACUGCAGUUGGUUCCCGGCGGGAGCCGCAGGGUCAGUCUGUGGCUCUUCCCCUACCACGCUUCCUCAGAGGCUGAGGAGGCGCUUUCCACUUCUCCGGCUUUCCGUCUUCGGCACUGUGUGCUCCUUGCUCCGCGGUUUCUCUACCUAGUCUUCCCUCCCGUCUUCGGUCCAUCUCCAAAGCCGGGGCUUGGCGGGGACUAGCCCUCCGGGAAAGGCAGGGCCGCGACCUCCCCGUCCCCGACCUGCAGGAACCCUCCUCCCUCGGCCCCUCACACCAGGUUUCCGCACUGACCCUCUCCUUCGCUUCGGUUCUGCCGCGCUCACCUCCUUUCACUCCUUUUUUUUUUUUCUCCUCUGCAGGGAUGGAAGCUUCCUGGCGCCAGGUGGCGAGUGGCAGAGGCCGAGCCCGGGGACGGGCGAGUGCCGCCCCCUCCUCUGGAAAUGGAGUCCAUCUCCGUGGCGCCGGAGGAGGGCGAGAGAAGGGGUCGGUGGGCGCGGUUCCUUCUGGCGCCAUUCCCGGAGGAGUCGCGACCACGGCCGCUGCGAGGAGCAGUAACAGCCCCGCGGGAUCCCAAGCCCUGCAGACGCCCGCAGUCCACGAGCUAGUGUCUCAGAAAAAAUUUGAAGAAAUCAAGAAAGCUAACCAAGCUGCAGCCAGAAAACUUGUUGAAGAACACUUUAGCUCUUCAUCUGAAGAAGAAGGAGAUGAAGAUUUUGAAGGAAAACAGGGAAGAAUAGUUGCUAAUACAUUUAUAACAUACACUACUCAGACAGAUGGAGAUAUACGUGAAUUAGAGAGAACAAAACAAUAUGUAAAUGAAGCUUUUCAAGCAGGGGCUAUGACGUGCUUAAUUUGUAUUGCUUCCGUGAAGAGAAACCAAGCAGUUUGGAGCUGUUUGGGAUGUUUCUGUAUAUUUCACAUGCCAUGUAUCCAGAAGUGGGCUAAAGACAGUCAGUUUCUUGUAUCUUCUGUGACCGAUGAUGAUUUUGGAAAGAGAGGUUAUCCCUGGCCUUGUCCAAAAUGUAGGUUUGAAUAUAAACGAUCUGAAACACCUAGUAGGUACUAUUGCUAUUGUGGAAAAGUAGAAGAUCCACCUUUAGAUCCAUGGCUUGUGCCUCAUUCAUGUGGCCAAGUAUGUGAGCGAGAAUUUAAACCUCCUUGUGGCCAUAAGUGUUUACUCCUCUGUCAUCCAGGUCCCUGCCCUCCUUGUCCAAAGAUGGUCACAACUACUUGUUACUGUAAGAAAGCAAAACCUAUCCCUCGUAGGUGCAGUGCCAAGGAAUGGUCCUGUCAGCUGCCAUGUGGACGAAAGUUGCUUUGUGGGCAACAUAAAUGUGGAAAUCCUUGUCAUGCAGGAAGUUGUCAGCCUUGUCCAAGAGUUAGUAGACAGAAGUGUGUCUGUGGCAAGAAAGUAGCUGAAAGAAGUUGUUCAAGUCCAUUAUGGCACUGUGAUCAAGUAUGUGGAAAAACACUGCCAUGUGGUAAUCACACAUGUGAGCAAGUUUGCCAUGUUGGUGCUUGUGGAGAAUGUCCUCGAUCUGGGAAAAGGUUCUGUCCAUGUCAGAAAUCAAAGUUUUCUUUGCCUUGUACGGAAGAUGUACCAACUUGUGGAGACAGUUGUGAUAAAGUUCUUGAAUGUGGAAUCCAUAGAUGUUCACAGCGUUGUCACCGAGGUCCCUGUGAAACAUGUAGACAAGAAGUGGAAAAGCACUGUCGCUGUGGAAAGCAUACAAAACGAAUGCCUUGUCAUAAACCUUAUCUGUGUGAAACUAAAUGUGUUAAGAUGCGUGACUGUCAGAAGCAUCAAUGUAGAAGAAAGUGUUGCCCUGGAAACUGUCCACCUUGUGAUCAAAACUGUGGACGGACUUUAGGAUGUAGAAACCAUAAGUGUCCAUCUGUCUGCCACAGAGGCAGUUGCUAUCCCUGUCCAGAAACCGUAGAUGUGAAGUGUAAUUGUGGCAAUACUAAGGUAACAGUGCCUUGUGGCCGAGAAAGGACCACAAGACCACCCAAGUGUAAGGAGCAAUGCAGUCGACCACCAACUUGUCAUCAUAUAAGUCAAGAGAAACAUCGCUGUCACUUUGGCUCUUGUCCACCAUGUCAUCAACCUUGCCAAAAAGUUUUGGAGAAAUGUGGUCACUUGUGUCCUGCUCCAUGUCAUGAUCAAGCAUUAAUAAAGCAGACUGGCAGGCACCAGCCUACAGGCCCUUGGGAACAGCCUUCAGAGCCAGCAUUUAUUCAGACUGCAUUACCGUGUCCUCCAUGUCAAGUUCCUAUUCCUGUAGAAUGUCUUGGGAAACAUGAGGUGAGUCCACUACCAUGCCAUGCCUUAGGACCCUACUCUUGUAAAAGAGUUUGUGGAAGAAUCUUAGAUUGUCAGAAUCACACAUGUAUGAAAGAAUGCCACAAAGUAACCAAAAUUGAUGGCUCAACUGGAAAAAACAAGGCUGGCCCAGAAUGCCUUCAUUGUGAAGAAGGGUGCUCCAGGCCACGGCCACUAGGUUGUCUUCACCCAUGUGUUUUGCCAUGUCACCCUGGAGAAUGUCCACCUUGUGUUCAGAUGCUUAGAAUAAAGUGUCACUGUAAGAUCACAAGCCUGUAUGUGGAAUGUAGCUUCCUUGUGGUCAUAGAUGCAAAGAGAUGUGUCAUCCUGGUGAAUGUCCCUUUAAUUGCAACCAGAAGGUAAAACUUAGAUGUCCUUGUAAAAGAAUAAAAAAGGAAUUGCAGUGCAACAAAGUACGUGAAAAUCAGGUUUCAAUAGAAUGUGACACAACGUGCAAGGAAAUGAAGCGGAAAGCAUCUGAGAUAAAAGAAGCAGAAGCCAAAGCUGCUUAUGAAGAAGAAAAACGAAGACAACAGGCUGAACUAGAAGCUUUUGAAAACAGACUGAAGGGUCGUCGGAAGAAGAGCAGGAAAAGAGAUGAAGUGGCGGUUGAGCUAUCACCAUGGCAGAAACAUAAAUAUUAUCUCCUUUCAGUGUGUGGAGUUGUGGUUGUAAUGUUUGCAUGGUACAUCACCCAUGAUGUGGAUUAAAAAAUGUUUUGAUCUUUUAAUAUAACUCAGAUUGGAUUUAGAUAAGUUGUUAAAUUUGGAAUAUUAUAAAAUGUAUAUUAUAGAACAUGGUAUAUUUGCAUUCAUCUAUGUAUUCUCUUUUAGCUAUUGUUAGGACAGAAUGUUAAACUUUAUCUUAAUUAGUAUACUAGAAAGGGCAGUAUAACACUGUUUAAAGUGAAAGCAUGACUGAAAUUGUAAAAUAUUUCGUAAGGCUUAGCUAGAAGCAGAGUAAUAUGUUUUUGUUCAUUGGGCUUCCUUGUACUAAUUUAGUUUUUUCAUUUAAUAUUUCAAACCAACACAUUUUUAAAAAAUAAUUCAGAUGAAACUGAGCCAUAUGUUCAGUAAGAGGAAUAUUUCUUAAUGUUUUGGUUACUUAUCAUAGGGUACUUUUCUUGAUCUUAUUAACUUUGUACUUUUUUAAAAAAGUGAUUCUCUAACAGACCUCUUAAAUUGUGACAUGAAGGUAUAUAACUAGAUUUUAGAAAUUGGUUUAUUAGUGAGGAAUUUUUAUCAAUAAAUGUCAUGUGGUGUGUUCUUCAGAAAAUACAGUUAUUUUCAACAGAUGCCAGGCUAGAUUCCUCACAUGUGGCUAUUUCUUAUGUAAGAAGCUUUUAACUGAAGUUGGCAUGUUUCAUAAAACUUCUAUGUAUCUUUUAAAAAUAAGAGUAAAAGGAAAAUGAAUAUUUAUGCAGAAUAUGUACUGACAACAAGGCUUAUGAGCUUUAUGUACUUUAAUCUCAUUUCUCCUUACCGCAAUCCUAAAUAGAUUUCAGCUGAAAAUAAUCAAUUCUUAUGAAAACAAAUAGAGAAGUAUCAGUAAGUCUAAUCUGUUUGAAUUAUAUUUCAUUUCAAAUAGUUUUGCUAUUUAAUUUAUAUGAUUAAUGUUUUCAUUAAAAUUUUUCAUACCAAA